rnacentral:miRNA from 11 species
GGGUAUUCUCAGGUGAUUAACA